rnacentral:misc_RNA from 1 species
GGAAGGAUCAUUAUUGCACUGUAACAAGUCUGUUAUGUGAGUAUUGGAUAAUGUUUUUUCGAAGUAUUGUUUCUGGUUUAAUAUUUUAUCAAUCAUGAGUCCAAGCAAUGGAUAUCUUGGUUCCCACAACGAUGAAGAACGCAGCGAAAUGCGAUACGUAAUGUGAAUUGCAGGGUUAAGUGAAUCAUCAAAUGUUUGAACGCAAGUUGCGCCGCUUCGGCGGCAUGCUUCUUUGAGUGUCGGUUUCCUUGUUGGGCGAUUUUGUAUAAAAUUGUCUUGGUCUAUUUCUUCGCGUCGGUUGAAAGACAGGGCGUUCAGAAACCUUCGUUCUGCCAAGAACGUUAAACAACAGACCUCAAAUGAAGUAAGACUACCCGCUGAAUUUAAGCAUAUAAUUAAGCGGAGGAAAAGAAACUAACGAGGAUUCCCUCAGUAACGGCGAGUGAAGCGGGAAGAGUUCAAACCUGGAAUCGCGUAGCAACGCGAAUUGUGGUGUGUAAACGCGUGCCUCAGCGGCUGUGCCGGUGGAAGUCGAUUGGAAAAUCGCAUCAGAGAGGGUGAAAAUCCCGUUCGACACUGGACCUGCAGUCGCGUUCGAGCCGUCGUUUUCGAGUCGGGUUGCUUGGGAGUGCAGCCCUAAGUGGGUGGUAAAUUCCAUCUAAAACUAAAUAUGUGUGGGAGACCGAUAGCGAACAAGUACCGUGAGGGAAAGAUGAAAAGAACUUUGAAAAGAGAGUAAAAAGUACUUGAAAUUGUUUGGAUUGAAGGGAUGACGCUCAGUCGGUCAGGAUGGCUUGGCGGCGGGCUUGUUGCGCGUCGGGGUAGGUAGGUCGGCUCUUGCAGGCGAGUGUUUUAGCCCGGUGCGCAAAGUCUGGCGGCGAGCGAGGUCGCGGAUAGAUCCUGACGAAAUGGGCGUCAUUCACCCGUCUUGAAACACGGACCAAGGAGUCUUACAUGUCUGCGAGUGUUAGCGUGCAGAAGCGUUAUCGCGCAAUGAAAGUGAAUUCGUUCAAACGAGGGCGACUACGGUACGACCCCGAGCAUACAUGCAGGGACCCGAAAGAUGGUGAACUAUGCCUGGGCAGGAUGAAGCCAGGGGAAACUCUGGUGGAGGUCCGAAGCGAUACUGACGUGCAAAUCGUUCGUGUGAGCUGGGUAUAGGGGCGAAAGACUAAUCGAACCGUCUGGUAGCUGGUUCCCUC